rnacentral:rRNA from 1 species
AUGUCGUCCGGCGACGAUGACCGCGUCACCUUCUCCAAGCACCACCACCGGGAUAAGGACAAGGACCGCGACCACUCCUCCUCUCGCCGCCACCGCGACAAGGACCGCCCCUCCUCUCGCCACCACCGCGACGACAGGGACGGUGAGCGGGAGCGGGAGCGGGACCGAGAUCGCGACCGCCACCACAGAGACAAGGAGCGGGAUCGAGAGGAGCGGAAGGCGCGGGAGCGGGCGGAGAAGGAGCGCGAGAAGGAGGAGAAGAGGGAGAAGGAAAGGGAGAGGGAGAGGGAGGAGAGGGAGAUGGAGAAGGAGAGAGAGCGGGCGCGUCGUCGCGAGGAGCGGGAUAGGGAGAAGGAGAAGUCGAGGAGGCGGGAGGCGGUCGAUGAGGAGAACGAAGAUCGUGACCGUGACCGCAAGCGCCGCCGCCGGUCCUUGCACCGGCACCACCACCGUGAUGUGGAGCCAGAGGAGACACCGCUGUCAAGGGAGGAGGAGGAGGAUGCAGAGGAGGUGGAGAGACGGCGGCAGAAGAAGGAGGAAGACAUGGAGGCUGAGCAGCAGCGGCUUGAUGACGAGAUGGAGCGGCGCCGCCGCCGUGUUAAGGAGUGGCAGGAGAAGAAGCGCCGUGAGCAGCAGCAGGAGGAUGGUGCCAGUGGUGGUGCAGCUGCCAUUGAGGCUGAUGGUGGAGGCAAGUCUGGGAAGAAGUGGACUUUGGAUGGUGAGGAGUCGGAUGAGGAGGAUGUGAAGAAGUUGGAGGAGAAUGCUGGCACUGGUGCCAUGGAUGUUGACCUACCAAACAUGGAUAAUGGCAGUAACAGUGGGGCUGGUUUGGAAGAGGAUGAGAUUGAUCCCCUCGACGCGUUUAUGGACUCUAUGGUGUUGCCAGUGGUUGCAAAGCUCGAGAGUGCCACAACAGCGACGGAGAGCGUGCUUGCUGACAAUGCAGGUGGUUUGAAUGACAAGGGUGUGAAGGAUGCCACAAGUAAUGAGGAUAAGAAAAGACAGAUGAUGGCAAUUGGGAGAAUUAUGCAAGGGGAUGACUCUGACUCAGAUUAUGAUGAUGCUAAUAAUGGCGAGGCUGGAUCAGAUGAUGAGGAUGAUGCAGAGUUCAUAAAACGUGUCAAGAAGACGAAGGCAGAGAAGUUGGUUAUUGUUGACCAUUCCAAGAUUGAUUACCAACCAUUCCGGAAGAAUUUCUAUAUUGAGGUGAAAGACAUAAAAAAUAUGCCAGCCGAGGAAGCGGCGGCCUACCGGAAGCUGUUGGAGCUCAAGGUGCACGGGAAAGACGUUCCGAAGCCAAUAAAGACAUGGAUCCAGAGUGGUCUGACAAGGGUUGCAAAGACUGGAUCUGGGAAGACUCUAGCAUUUGUCUUGCCCAUGCUGAGGCAUGUCAAAGAUCAGCCGCCUGUUGUGCCUGGGGAUGGCCCUAUUGGGCUUAUUAUGGCUCCUACGAGAGAGCUUGUGGUGCAAAUAUAUUCAGACAUAAAAAAGUUCUCCAAGGUGCUUGGCAUCAACUGUGUUCCUAUAUACGGAGGUUCUGGGGUUGCCCAGCAGAUCAGUGAACUGAAGAGGGGUGCUGAAAUUGUUGUUUGUACACCAGGCAGGAUGAUUGAUAUCCUUUGCACUAGCAGUGGCAAGAUUACUAACCUUCGAAGAGUGACUUUCUUGGUGCUGGAUGAAGCUGAUAGGAUGUUUGAUAUGGGUUUUGAGCCUCAGAUUACUCGAAUCGUUCAGAACACCCGUCCGGAUAGGCAGACUGUCCUUUUCUCUGCCACUUUUCCACGGCAGGUGGAGAUACUGGCACGUAAAGUGCUGACGAAGCCUGUUGAGAUUCAGAUGGGUGGGAGGAGUGUCGUGAACAAAGAUAUCACACAACUGGUGGAAGUGCGACCAGAAAGCGAGAGGUUCUUUAGGCUGUUGGAAUUGCUUGGGGAGUGGUUUGCAAACGGAAAAAUUCUUGUUUUUGUACAGUCGCAAGAUAAGUGUGAUUCUCUACUGAAAGAGCUGUUCCAGCACGGAUACCCAUGUUUGUCUCUACAUGGUGGAAAGGAUCAAAAUGACCGUGAAUCAACUCUUGCUGAUUUCAAGAGUAAUGUAUGCAGCUUGCUGAUUGCUACCAGUGUUGCUGCAAGGGGUUUAGAUGUGAAAGAUCUUGAGCUUGUUGUCAACUAUGAUGUUACUAAUCAUUAUGAGGACUAUGUUCAUCGGGUCGGGCGAACGGGUCGCGCUGGUAGGAAGGGCUGUGCUGUGACUUUUAUUUCUGAGGAAGAGGAACGCUAUGCACCAGACCUUGUUAAGGCUUUGGAGCUAUCUGAACAGGCCGUUCCAGAGGACCUGAAAGCCUUAGCGGAUCGAUUUAUGUCAAAGGUCAAGCAGGGAACAGAGCAGGCCCAUGGAACAGGCUAUGGUGGAAGUGGUUUCAAGUUCAAUGAAGAAGAGGAGGAAGCACGGAAAUCUGCAAAAAGGGCUCAGGCAAGGGAAUAUGGAUAUGAGGAGGACAAGUCAGAUUCAGAUUCUGACGAUGAAGGAGGUGUGCGUAAACAGGGAGGUGAUGUUGCAGCACAAGCUAUUGCUGCUGCUCAAGCUGCCGCUGCUUUGGCUGCUGCCAGGGCUACUAGUAAUGCCCAGCAGCAAGUACCAGCCACAACGGCUGGCUCCUUGCUUCCUCUGCCGGUCGCACCUAACCAACAAAACAAUGAAGCCACACAACGAGCACUUGAUGCUGCAUACAACUUACAGAAAAAUUUGGCAAGGAUACAGGCCCAUGCAGUUCCAGAACACUAUGAAGCGGAGCUUGAGAUUAAUGAUUUCCCACAAAAUGCUCGCUGGAAGAUCACUCACAAAGAGACAUUGGUUCCCAUUCAGGAAUGGACUGGAGCGGCAAUUACUACAAGGGGAACCUUUAUUCCUCAAGGCAAAAUUGUUGGUGCUAACGAGCGCAAGCUGUACCUGUUUAUUGAGGGCCCCAAUGAGUCUUCCGUCAAGAAGGCGAAAGCAGAAUUGAAGCGUGUCCUUGAGGAUUGUGCCAACCAGGCACUGAAUCUUCCAGGUUCUGCUCAAACCGGAAAGUAUUCUGUUCUUUGA